GUUAAGCGACUAAGCGUACACGGUGGAUGCCCUGGCAGUCAGAGGCGAUGAAGGGCGUGCUAAUCUGCGAUAAGCGCCGGUAAGGUGAUAUGAACCGUUAUAACCGGCGAUACCCGAAUGGGGAAACCCAGUGUGAUUCGUCACACUAUCAUUAACUGAAUCCAUAGGUUAAUGAGGCGAACCGGGGGAACUGAAACAUCUAAGUACCCCGAGGAAAAGAAAUCAACCGAGAUUCCCCCAGUAGCGGCGAGCGAACGGGGAGGAGCCCAGAGCCUGAAUCAGCAUGUGUGUUAGUGGAAGCGUCUGGAAAGGCGCGCGAUACAGGGUGACAGCCCCGUACACAAAAGCGCAUGUGCUGUGAGCUCGAUGAGUAGGG
rnacentral:rRNA from 2 species